rnacentral:rRNA from 1 species
AUGCAUGAAAGAAAUGAAAUAGACAAAGUUUUCUUCGAACAACGUCCUCUGCUUAAACACAAUUUGCCUAUUGAAACUCUUGGAGGUCCUCCUCCACCUAAAGGUGAUCCUGUGUUUGAGUUAAAACAAUUGCCAGGCACUUUGAAAUAUGCUUAUCUUGAUGAAAAGAAGAUAUAUCCUGUUAUUAUUAGUGCUAACCUUUCAGAACAUGAAGAAGAAAGAUUAUUGAAAGUUCUAAGGAAGCACCGGGCUACUAUUGGAUAUACUCUUGAUGAUUUAAAGGGCAUUAGUCCCACUCUAUGUCAGCACAAAAUCAAUAUGGAACCGGAUGCUAAACCAGUUGUUGAUCACCAACGUCGGUUAAAUCCGAAGAUGAAAGAAGUGGUAAGAACGGAAAUAUUAAAACUUCUGGAAGCAUGUAUAAUCUAUCCCAUAGCUGAUAGUAGAUGGGUAAGUCCUGUUCAUUGUGUUCCUAAGAAAGGAGGUAUAACUGUUGUUCCUAAUGAUAAGAACGAGCUUAUUCCACAAAGAAUUGUUACAGGCUAUAGAAUGGUAAUUGAUUAUAGAAAAUUAAAUAAAGCAACUAGAAAAGAUCAUUACCCUUUGCCUUUUAUUGAUCAAAUGCUUGAAAGAUUAUCUAAGCACACACACUUUUGCUUCCUUGAUGGAUACUCUGGCUUUUCACAAAUACCUGUUUCUCAACCUGAUCAAGAAAAUACCACUUUUACUUAUCCUUUGGGAACAUAUGCUUAUAGACGUAUGCCUUUUGGUUUAUGUAAUGCACCUACUACCUUUCAAAGAUGUAUGACUGCUAUAUUCUCUGCCUUUUGUGAAAAGAUUGUUGAGGUUUUCAUGGAUGACUUUUCUAUUUAUGGGAAGUCUUUUGAUGAUUGUUUAAGCAAUCUUGAGCGAGUUUUGCAAAGAUGUGAACAAACAAAUCUUGUCUUGAAUUGGGAGAAGUGCCACUUUAUGGUUAAUGAAGGCAUUGUCUUGGGUCAUAAAAUUUCUGAAAGAGGUAUUGAAGUGGACCAAGCCAAGGUUGAUGCAAUUGUGAAGAUGCCAUGUUCUAAGGACAUCAAAGGUAUUCAUAGUUUCCUAGGUCAUGCUGGUUUCUAUAGGAGAUUUAUCAAAGACUUCUCUAAAAUUUCUAGGCCUCUCACUAGUCUCCUGCAAAAGGAUAUUCCUUUUGUUUUUGAUGAUGAUUGUUUAGAAGCCUUUGAAACACUUAAGAAAGCCUUAAUUUCUGCACCUAUUGUUCAACCACCUGAUUGGAACUUGCCUUUUGAAAUUAUGUGUGAUGCUAGAUUAUGUUGUUGGUGCUGUUCUAGGACAAAGAGUUGA